rnacentral:rRNA from 1 species
GACAGAGGGUGCAAACGUUGUUCGGAAUUACUGGGCGUAAAGCGCGUGUAGGCGGCCCGGAAAGUCGGAUGUGAAAGCCCUGGGCUUAACCUAGGAAGUGCAUUCGAAACUGCUGGGCUUGAGUUCUGGAGAGGAAGGCGGAAUUCUCGGUGUAGAGGUGAAAUUCGUAGAUAUCGAGAGGAACACCGGUGGCGAAGGCGGCCUUCUGGACAGUG